ACGCUGGCGGCACGCCUAACACAUGCAAGUCGAACGAAGUAGCAAUACUUAGUGGCAGACGGGUGAGUAACAUGUAGGUAUCUACCCUUUGGCCUGGAAUAACACGAGGAAACUUGUGCUAAUACCGGAUAAGUCUUUACGGAGAAAGCUUUAUGCACCAUUGGAUGAGCCUGCACUUGAUUAGUUUGUUGGUAGGGUAAUGGCCUACCAAGACUGUGAUCAAUAGCUGAUUUGAGAGGAUGAUCAGCCACAUUGGGACUGAGACACGGCCCAAACUCCUACGGGAGGCAGCAGUGGGGAAUCUUGCACAAUGGAGGAAACUCUGAUGCAGCGAUGCCGCGUGAGUGAAGAAGGCCCUUGGGUUGUAAAGCUCUUUCGUCGGGGAAGAAAAUGACUGUACCCGAAUAAGAAGGUCCGGCUAACUUCGUGCCAGCAGCCGCGGUAAUACGAAGGGACCUAGCGUAGUUCGGAAUUACUGGGCUUAAAGAGUUCGUAGGUGGUUGAAAAAGUUGGUGGUGAAAUCCCAGAGCUUAACUCUGGAACUGCCAUCAAAACUUUUCAGCUAGAGUUUGAUAGAGGAAAGCAGAAUUUCUAGUGUAGAGGUGAAAUUCGUAGAUAUUAGAAAGAAUACCAAUUGCGAAGGCAGCUUUCUGGAUCAUUACUGACACUGAGGAACGAAAGCAUGGGUAGCGAAGAGGAUUAGAUACCCUCGUAGUCCAUGCCGUAAACGAUGUGUGUUAGACGUUGGAAAUUUAUUUCCAGUGUCGCAGCGAAAGCGAUAAACACACCGCCUGGGGAGUACGACCGCAAGGUUAAAACUCAAAUGAAUUGACGGGGACCCGCACAAGUAGUGGAGCAUGUGGUUUAAUUCGAAGAUACGCGCAGAACCUUACCAACACUUGACAUGUUCGUCGCGACUUUAAGAGAUUAAAGUUUUCGGUUCGGCCGGACGAAACACAGGUGCUGCAUGGCUGUCGUCAGCUCGUGUCGUGAGAUGUUGGGUUAAGUCCCGCAACGAGCGCAACCCUCACUUUUAGUUGCCAUCAUUAAGUUGGGCACUCUGAAAGAACUGCCAGUGAUAAGCUGGAGGAAGGUGGGGAUGACGUCAAGUCCUCAUGGCCCUUACGUGUUGGGCUACACACGUGCUACAAUGGUAUUUACAACAGGAAGCAAGACAGCGAUGUUAAGCAAAUCCUUAAAAAAUACCUCAGUUCGGAUUGCACUCUGCAACUCGAGUGCAUGAAGCUGGAAUUACUAGUAAUCGUGGAUCAGCGUGCCACGGUGAAUGCGUUCCCGGGUCUUGUACACACCGCCCGUCACACCAUGGGAGUUGGUUCUACCUUAAGGCAAGGUUUUAAACCCUUGACCACGGUAUAGUCAGCGACUGGGGUG
rnacentral:rRNA from 1 species